UACAGAGGUCUCAAGCGUUGUUCGGAUUCAUUGGGCGUAAAGGGUGCGUAGGCGGCGCGGUAAGUCGGGUGUGAAAUCUCGGAGCUUAACUCCGAAACUGCAUUCGAUACUACCGUGCUUGAGGACUGGAGAGGAGACUGGAAUUUACGGUGUAGCGGUGAAAUGCGCAGAUAUCGGGAGGAACACCAAUGGCGAAGGCAGCUCGCUGGGACGGUACUGACGCUGAGACGCGAAAGCGUGGGGAGCAAACAGG
rnacentral:rRNA from 1 species